rnacentral:rRNA from 1 species
GACGAACGCUGGCGGCGUGCUUAAUACAUGCAAGUCGAACGGAAAGGCCCGGCGUUUGUGGGGCGCUCGAGUGGCGAACGGGGGAGUAACACGUGAGUAAACCGCCCCUGACUUUGGGAUAACUCCACGAAACAGGGGCUAAAACCGGAUAGGAGCUCCUGCUGCACGGGGGGGGAUGGAAAGUUUCGGCGGUUGGGGAUGGAAUCGCGGCUUCUCAGCCUGUUGGUGGGGUAGUGGCUUACCAAGGCUUUGACGGGUAGCCGGCCUGCGAGGGUGACCGGCCACAUUGGGCCUGUGAUACGGCCCAGACUCCUACGGGAGGCAGCAGUGGGGAAUAUUGCACAAUGGGCCGCCGCCUGAUGCAGCAACGCCGCCUGCUGGUUGACGGCCUUCGGGUUGUAAGCCGCUUUCGCCUGUGACCAAGCGUGAGUUACAGUAUUGCGUAAAGGAGCACCGGCUAACUCCGUG